CAGCUCGUGUUGUGAGAUGUUGGGUUAAGUCCCGCAACGAGCGCAACCCUUAUCCUUAGUUGCCAGCACGUAAUGGUGGGAACUCUGGGGAGACUGCCGGUGAUAAACCGGAGGAAGGUGGGGACGACGUCAAGUCAUCAUGGCCCUUACGGGAUGGGCUACACACGUGCUACAAUGGCGCGUACAAAGGGAAGCAAGCUAGCGAUAGUGAGCGGAUCUCAAAAAGCGCGUCGUAGUCCGGAUCGGAGUCUGCAACUCGACUCCGUGAAGUCGGAAUCGCUAGU
rnacentral:rRNA from 1 species